AAGGCUGGUUGACACCUUCUCUUCUCAGCUUAUAAUAAAGUCAGCAAAAACCAGCCCACCAAAUGGCACCCCAUUUGAGGAAGCAUACAAUCUUUUAAAGGGAGACGCUGGUCAAGAGGUACCUGCACCCUGAGUGUGCUGCACCCUCAGUAUACAUUCCCACCAAGGGCUAUGCGCUUCGGUCCUGAAUGAGGUUGAUUCCCAGCAAUAGGCAACCAAGUCACCCAUUUUGCGAGCUCCUGUAACCAGCUGCAAAUAUGUACGGUAUGGAAAAAAAGCUGAAACUUGACAAACCCCAAGUGGAAAAAAAAAUGAGCAAGAACAGCCACACAUCCAAAGAGAGAGCAAACCUCACUGCUUGGAGGAAGAAAUCCUCUAAUUACCUCCACACUUAUGCUUGCUUCCAUCUGCUUGCAUUUAAAGAAGCCCAACUACUGGGUUCCUCACAGCUGCGGAGAAGAAAAAGGAAAUGCAUCCCAGUGCCUGGAUGGCCGCAGCAGGCAGGAACCAACAACGAAGACAGAAGGUUCAUAAACAGAUUUAAUAUCUUUUAUGCAAAACUGAGCAAACAUUCUCCAGGUUGGGCAACCAUAAGAAAUAAUAAUGGAAAUCAUUCUCAGAGGAAGGCAACAGCAGUGUGUGUGGGCAGGAAUGCUGCAGCAAUGUACUCAUCUGAAGCAGCCAAUGAGCCUUCCCAGGCAAGUGUCGCAUGGGGCCCAGGCUGCAAUUAGGCUUCCUAUGGGGAAGGGACCGGAAGUGCAGGUACCCACACUUUACCAGACUGGUGAAAAAAAGUCUGCUUUAGGGCCCACCCUUGGCAAAACUCCCAAGUGGCCUUCUUAAAUUUCAGAAAUGUCAGCCUUCUGAUUUGAUCUCAUUUUGGUUAUUCUGCCCUUGCUCUUUCUACCUCAUUCUCACCAAUUCCCCAGGCUCCCGGCUGCCUCCAGUCUUAGAAUUCUGGGUUGUCCCAAACCAUCACAAUUUGAGGAAGCAACAAAACAAUAUAAUUUUUUAAAAUCGCAGCAAUGGAGGACAAUGUAUUUUUAGCUAAUGAAAUUGUGCUAUACAGAUGCAAAGAGAUGAGAUGUUUUCACAUUGUCAGGUAGUGGCAGGGAAAUGGACCCUUAUCUCAUAGCUACAACACAUUACACAUUCGGCAAAAAAGGGAAACCAGCAUUUAGAGGCACUUGCUAUGACCUGCAGACUAGCUAGGUGCCUUCACAUAUUUUAUCUGAUUUCAAACCGUACAAUGAUCCUAUGAAUUGGGCUCAAAUAAAUGAAGCAACUUUCCCCAAGUCUUCUAGCCAGAAACAGUGGCAAAGCUCACUCUUCCUUUUAGCACUAAAUUGUACCACUUAGAGACUUCAGGAGAAUGGAAGCUGAUGGUGUAGUUAACUCAUGAGACUUAAGUCUCACGGGCUUUGAAUUCUGUUCAGGAUAGAUAGAGUGAAAAGAGAACAGUGUAAUGACAUGAACAUCAGUGAGGAACCUGAGCCCAAGAUUAACUUGAAUGGUAUCACUGGGAAAGGUUGUUAAUGGAAACUUUUUGGAUUCCUGGUGUAACUGUUAUUUUGCAGUUUGUGAGGACCCUGGAGAAUUCUGUAAAGGUGACUUUUGCAUCUCUAAGCAGCUCCCUCCUUCACAAUAUGCUGAAGUUAGAGGGGCCAGAGCCAGUGGCACUUGGCCUCAAGUACCCUGAAGGGCGUAAUCAGGUAAUGCCAAGAGAAGCCAAAUUUGGGCACACAGGGCUUUCUGCAGAAGUGGGAGAGGGGCCUACUGGCUGCCUAUCCAGGGUCUCCCUGCACCGUCAGCAACAAAAUGCCCUCAGAACUCCCCUGAACAAAUUCUUUCUGCCUGCAACCAGCACAACCAUCUAUCAAAGCAGGACCUGCAUUGCACAAUGGAACAGUGUGGGCGGCUCUAUGUUUUUGAUGUAGUAUAAAAAAAUUGACUAACCCCUUCCACUGGAAGGAACAGCUUCAACACGUAGGUUGUAUGUAUGCAAAAUGUUCCUAUGGGUAAAUGAUAGGAUCCCACAUAAGUGUCUAGAUCUGGAAGAAUACUGUCCAUCUUUAAGUUCAGCUCUGGCCUUUCAUGAGCAGCAGCAGCAGCAGCAAAAGCAGCAGAAGCAGCAGCAACAGCAGCAGUGAGGAGGCUCUUGCUCUGUCGGCACACAACUGAGGGCUCACCCUAGAAGCGCUCUGCUUCCGUAUCUGGCUUUCUAAGUCAUCUACGACCUCGCCGGUUAAUGGUGAUGUAAGGACAUCUCCACACUUGUUAUUUUUAAGGUUAAAAUUCAAUCAAUUCUUGAAUCUGUCUCCUUUGAGAGAGUAUCAACAGGGCAGGUAUCUGAAAAUAACUUAUGUGUUUUAUUCAUUGCUUGAUGGUUAAGACAAAGUUUGCUUCUGAUGGAAUUCCCUUCCCUACCCCCACCCCAACAUUUUAAUGUGAAAUCAUAGUCUGAUAACUUUACUGAACAUUUAUAUACUUGCCAACUAGCUUCUACAUUAUAUCAUAUUUGCUUUAUCACGCAGUUAUCCAUCUAGCCAUACUGUAAAACUUUUUUUUCUAUACUGUAAAACUUUUAACUGCACAUUUCUCCAUGGUCCUUAUUCUUCUAAGGUGCCACUUAAGAGGAGCAUGCUUUUCAGACACCUCUGGGUGUGAAUCUCUGCUUGAGUACUUACUGGUGGGAGACUUUGGGAAGGUGUAUAAUUUCCUAGAGCUUCAGUUUCCAUAGUUAUAAACUCUGUGUAACAAUGGCCAGAGGUGCUGUGAGGAUUAACUGCAAUAACUGCAAUAAGCACAUUUAAGGAUAUUUAGCCAAUUUUUAUUCGUAGGCUAUGUACUCUCUCCUAUCUAUGAAAAAAAACUGAAUGUCAAGCAUUAAUAACAAUAAUCCGGGUACAGGUAAAACAAGAAUGACAUCACUUCCAUAGUUGCUGGAGCUGGGUGGAGGAUCUUUGUUAGCCCA